rnacentral:pre_miRNA from 1 species
GAUUUCAACGGAAAAAGUCAUCAACAACAAUGUUGUAUAACUCAUCGAGAUCUAUAACUUUUAUUUGGGUCAUUUCUUCAUUCGACUAGUGAUUCGUAACAUUGUUCACAAAAUGUACAUAUCUCUUAUACGUUUAUAAACAAUAAGAGAGAUAUGUAGAUUUUGUGAACAAUGUUACAAACCACUUCGUCGGAUGAAGACAUGAUCAAAAUUAAAGUUAUAGAUAUUGAUGAGUUAUACAACUUUGUUAUUGAUGACUUUUUGAGUUGAAAUC